CGCAAUGGACGAAAGUCUGACGGAGCAACGCCGCGUGAGUGAUGAAGGCUUUCGGGUCGUAAAACUCUGUAGUUAGGGAAGAACAAGUACGAGAGUAACUGCUCGUACCUUGACGGUACCUAACCAGAAAGCCACGGCUAACUACGUGCCAGCAG
rnacentral:rRNA from 1 species